GUCACUUUGCCGGAGUGGUUAACGGGAUCGCCUGCUAUUCCUAGCUGUCAGCGGUUGUGCUUUGCACGCGAGUGUUCGAAUCGCUCAGGUGACG
rnacentral:tRNA from 1 species